AUAGAAUAAGACGUCGACCAAUCAAAUGGGAUUACCGUUCGAAGUGUCGAUUCGUGCCCUCCGAUUGGAUAGACAAGAAUUCAAAAGCAUUUAAACGAGCUAGCAUGGCGGGCCCUUUAAAUCCUUACGCACAGCGAGUGUUGGAUUGAAUAAUGCCUGCUUUUACGUUAUUAGGCUUGGUGCUUGGACUGAUUGGGGAAAUGAUUGGAAAUGCAUUUCCAAUACGUUGACUCUGUUUCAUCAUUUACAAGGUGUGACAAGUCUGUGCAAUCGGGCUACGUCAGGAGGAGAGAAAGACCGUGGAUUCGAGGGCAAAUAGUACGGAGGAGAUAGAUAGAAAUCAGAUAAAGUUCCAGUCUUUUGGAGAUUAAUAUAAGAUUAAUUAAAGUGGAACUGGACUUGGACUGAUCCUGAUUAUCUGGAAAGUUCAUUAAUUAAUGACAAAAUAUGUCAUUUUCAUGGCAUUUACUUUACAGAAGACCAAAGAUGACUGAAAAUCAGCAAAGCAAAAGCCAGUAGUAGCUGUGGAUGUCAUGUUAUAAAUGAUAACUUUAUCAAGUUGACAGCCACAAGAAGUAUAGCAUUUUUAUGUAAAAGGAAAGUACCAAUUUUUUGUAUUUGAAAAUCUUAAUAUCUUAUUGAAUCUUUUAAGUAAACUCAAAGAAUAUUCUCAUGGAAUGCACAAUGAGCACUGUAUGCCAAUUUGUAGAAAUCAAAUUAGUUUUGCAAGCUGCAAUGUUCUGUUUAGGAGUUCUUUGACUUUUUGCAUUUAUAAGUUUUCCAUAUGUCUAUCUUUCAUAUUUCUGGGACAGGGAUUAUGGGGUUCCAUUGUAAUAGUUUUUUUUUAAUUCUUAUUGUAUUUAUAACAAUUUAGAUGUUAUUAAGAAAUAUUAGAAUGACUGGUUUUUAAACUAAUUACAGUGUAUUAUACUAUAUAUUACUUUUUUAUUAACAGAGAAUGAACAGCAUGAUCUUAUGAUAGGUAGUGAAGUAGCCUGUGAUACCAAUAAAAGACAACUAUGAAAAACAAUUAGUAAGAAAAAGAUUGAUAGGACUGGAUAAAAUAAACAGUGGGAGACAGAUGCAGAGCAACAUGUAUGGAUUCAAUCAAUUGUACAGAGAAGAAAAAAACUAUUUUACAUUUGUUUUGGUAGUGGAAAUUAAUGAUAAUCUUGUCGAUGGAAUUCCAAAAUGUUAUGUAUUUACUAAAUAUAACAAAUGUAUAUCUUAAUCUAAUCUCAAAACUUCUUAAAAUUGUUUACUACUUCAUUCUGAAUAAUCGAUAUUGUUAUCUAUGAUAACUUAGACAUGAUUAAUGUAUUUUAUUCUGUCUCCUUUACGUGAACAAGAAUAAGAUUUUCAUGCUAAAACAUUAUACUACAGUAAAACCUGUCUAAACACAGCAAUUUUCUGUUAAAUUUUACUAACAGCCAAGAAGAGGUUUUUCAAAACAAAGAACAUAACUUAAAUGAAGCAAAAAAUGCUUCUAGGAGUAACAGUCAUCACAGAACAUGAAAACUAUUUUGAACCUUUCCACAGAAACAAAGAUCAAGCAACAAUGGGACACAAUCAAAUACUUCUACGAACUGAGAAUGUGUUUGUUGCUUGUUCUCAAUCCUUGGAAACAUAAUUUUGCAACAUGGUGCUAUUAAUUUAUCUCAUACAGAUUAGUUAAUAAAUAACAAAUACAAAGUAUUCUAAAACAAGUCAAUUUACACAUUAAUCAUUAAUCAUUAACUUCAAUCUCUAUAAUUAUAAAUUAGAGGAUUAUAAUUUGUCAAAAAUUUAUAAUACAGAAUAACUUGGACUCUGAAUUACCAUAAUGAAAUUACAAUUUCUGAUGGCAGAGCAAGACACAAGUUCUCCGUACUCAAACCAGCUCGUUUACCAUCAUAAGAGCUCAUAUGGAUUACAUCCGAGAAGUAUUUGAAUAUGUGGCAGAAGCUCUCGUGAAUGACAACUUUUUUUGGUCAAAUAUACCUGCCCAUCUUUGGUCAGAAUCAUAUUUUGAAUUAAACCUAACAAUAAAACUCUAUAUGUAAAAAUGGUUUUACAGAAAAAUACACAUAACUGCAUGACAUUUGUUUUACUCUUUAACUAUACUAGAUAACAGCGAAAAAUACUAAAACCUAUUCAGAAAUCGGGAAAAAAUUUUGUACCACACAAUCCCAGUUUAUACAGGUUUUACUAUAUUUUUUAGCUCUCUAUUAAAAUAAUAGUACACAUUUACCUCUAACACUUUUCUGAUCACUAUUAUCUUCC
rnacentral:misc_RNA from 1 species